rnacentral:rRNA from 1 species
ACGGAGGGUGCGAGCGUUAAUCGGAAUGACUGGGCGUAAAGCGCGCGUAGGUGGUUUUUUAAGUUGAAUGUGAAAGCCCUGGGCUCAACCUGGGAACUGCAUCCAAAACUGAGAGACUAGAGUACAGUAGAGGGGGGUAGAAUUUCCGGUGUAGCGGUGAAAUGCGUAGAGAUCGGAAGGAAUACCAGUGGCGAAGGCGGCCCCCUGGACUGAUACUGACACUGAAGUGCGAAAGCGUGGGUAGCAAACAGG